CUAGAGGUGUCCAAAGACUUUUGCUGAAGGAACACAAGAAUAUAAGAAGAGCCCUGCUGAAUCAGAUCAAAGGCCCAUCUAGUCCAGAACUCUGUUCUCCCAGUGGCUGACCAGAUGCCGUGGGAAGCCCACAUGCAGAAUCUGAGCACAACAGCACUUUCCCCACCUUGCAAGCUCCCUCUGAGCUGCUGAGGCCCACAAGCACAACAUCCCCCAGAUGGUGGUCCGCCCACCCUUCCAAGUUGUACACUCCACUAUUGCCACCACCAGGAGCGGUGAGGAGCGCUUUCUAUUGCUUCCUGUUACCUGCAGUAGACCAAACACUCCAUGUGGUUGAUCUCCUGGUCUGAACGGUAUCGGCUGUAAUCUUCCCACAAGUCCUUGAGAGCGGUGACCGCCAGGAUGAAGAGGACGGGGGCCAAAGCCAGCUCAGGCUGGAAGGCAUUGACGGCGGGCACAAAGUUGAGCAGGGCAAUGAAGACAAAGUAAACAUUGGCCAGGCGAUGGAACUGCUCAAACAGGUUCUUGGGCAAGAAGGACAGAGUGGUGUAUUUGGUUGUCUUAAGCCUGUUGUUGGCUGGGGAAGGAGUGGGGUGCUCUCCUUCAGGCCAGGCUGCCAGCAAGUUGGAACACACCCUUCGUGUCUGGCAUGCCUCUUUCUUCUUCUUCCUCCUCCUCCUCCUCCUCUUCCUUUCUUUUUCCACCUUCUGCUCUUGAGAAGAUUCCCCUCCACCAUUGCCUGGUGUCAUGGUCUUCUCACCCGGCACACACACAAAAACAAAACAGAAAAGCAAAGUUAGAACUUAUCCUGCGUUUUCCCAGCAGCACGCGGAGAAAGUGACCAACCCUCUUUCUCUCCCUCCCUUCCUCCCUCCCUCCCUUUGCACUAUGUGAUCAUCUUCUGAAGUUUCAGUCAUGCCCUUACUUUUUUCCCCCCUAAGUGAAGGGAGAGGCAAGUGUGGAUCUUCUCUCUGCCCCCUAGAAAACUUUGUUUAGAAUCAGGAUCGAUCUCUUUCUCUUUCCUCCCCCCUCCCCCAGUUUAGAAGGAUGGUCUCUUUUUCCAAACUUUCUCCUUCGCUUCUUGCUGCCGACAGCCAGGCGACUGAAUGACUGCCCCUGUGGUCGGGGCUCCUAAGCGCUCGGGAGACGACUCGCACAAAGUAACCCUUGUCUUUGUAUGUCAUUUCUCACCAACUCGUUUCCGCUUCACCGCCGCGAACAGGGGCUUUGAUUACGGGAGAGAAGGGAAGGGACCGAAGAAAGCAGCAGCAGCCGGCACGCUGGAGAUGGGGUAAAGAGUUGCACUCAUACCGCGUCAUGUGGGGAAGGCUCUGGAAACUCCCUGAAAAGGGGUGGGAAGCCGGGAGGAGGGCAGAAAAGUUCCCUAAAUAUUAACCACGGAGAAUACGGCAGGAGAGAAAAAGACAGGUAUAAAGUUAAGCCGGGAGGGAAGGGGCGCAGCAGCGUGCGUGUGCCCGUGGGAAGUUUACACAUCACGCGCAACCCGAUCCUAGGUAGGUUUCCGCGGGAAUCAGCCUCCCGCUGCGUUCAAUGGGGCUAACGCCCAACCCAAGUUAAACACACACGGGCUGCUUUAUUGGGCCAUCCUGUAUCAAUUCUACUCAGGAGUAAGGCCCACUGAGUUCAAAUUGGAACUUUGCCCCCAGGGAAGGGUGAGGAUCGCAGCCUCGUUUCCCUAAUGCAGGGUGGCUAACCACGUUGUCGGGCUCCAGCACCCAUCAGCCCCAGCCAGCGAGGCGAGCGUGCAGGGAUGAUGGGAGUUGUAGUCCGACAACAUCUGGCGGGCAACAUGAUUCUCCAUCUCUGUCCUGAUGGAUUCAAGAGAAGCCUGGCUGCUGCUUCUCCCAAGAUUACAUUUAAAGGGGUUGUCCCAGAAUUUCCAGGACACCUCCGGAGUCCGGACGGAGGGGAAGAGAUUUUGUUAAAACGUUUUGUCUUCAAAGAGCUCGGCUACGAGCGCAAACGUUUUCAAUGACGACCCCCCCUCCCUUUGAACUCACAAUGCCGCAUUUCUCCUACCUACAGGGUUGUUUUAACACUCUUUUUUUCCUUUUUGGUCCCGAAACUUUCCGCCCACGUAUUGACGCACAUACAGAGAAACAUUUCAACGUCUUCAAGCUGUGUGCCUCUUUCCUGGAACGAGACUCCUCCCCGCCAGCCCCCCCCCCCGAACUUCUCGUUCAGUUUCGAAUUACUAAAAGUGAGAAGAAAAUCAAGCGAGCAGACGGGGCGGGGAAACUGAUGCCAGACAGGCGUUAAUCUGCAUGUUAUAAACAGACGCACAGCCAAGAGCAGAAACCACAGACCUCAGCCACCGGUUAAGUGGGAGCCCGGAGGCGAUCUUUAUGGAUUGGUGGCUGUUUGCAGCACAAUCCUAUGCAUGUUUAUUCGGUAGUAAGUCCCCGCGGAUUCAGUGGGGUCUCUUAAUUCCCUGAGCAUACUGGAGAAGAGAAGACUGAGGGGAGAUAUGAUAGCACUCUUCAAGUACAUGAAAGGUUGUCACAUAGAGGAUCAUCCCAGAGUGCAGGACACGGAAUAAUGGGCUCAAGUUGCAGGAAGCCAGAUUUCGGCUGGACAUCAGGAAAAACUUCCUAACUGUUAGAGCCAUACAACAAUGGAACCAAUUACCUAAAGAGGUAGAGGGCUCUCUGAAACUGGAGGCAUUCAAGAGGCAGCUGGACAGCUAUCUGUUGGGAAUGCUUUGAUUUGGAUUCCUGCAUUGAGCAGGGGGUUGGACUUGAUGGCCUUAUAGGCCCCUUCCAACUCUACUAUUCUAUUAUUCUAUGAUCAUUUGCUCUGUAUUUUAUAAUUUUAUGAUUUUUUAUGAUUUUAUUGUGUACCACCAUGAUAUUUUGUAAUGAGAUGGCCAUUUAUAAAUACUGUUAUAAAUAAAAUAAAUACAUAAGAUCCAGGCAUUAUGUGCCAUUCUGUCCUGUACAGUGCUUAGUAUGGCAUUGGCAUCCUAAAUCUGUGUUAAUAAGUAGCAGCGAGACAUAUACAAUUAGCAGCCAUAGCAAAGGAUCCAGGAUGCUCUGAUCUUUCAGAAUAAGAUGGGUGGGACUUGUAAAAGGAACGGUUUUGACCUAUAAAGCUCUAUAUGGACUAGGUCCAGGCUAUUUGUCAGACCGUAUCUCCCUAUAUGAGCCUGCCCGGGCGUUGAGAUCCUCAGGAGAGGCCCUUCUCUCAGUCCCAACACCUUCGCAAGCGUGAUUGGUGGGGACAUGAGAUAGGGCCUUCUCGGUGGCUGCACCCACGUUCUGGAACUCUCUUCCUAGGGGAGCACGAAUGGCCCCUUCCUUGCUAUCCUUCCAUCAGCAGGCAAAGACUUUUUUAUUCCAACUGGCUUUUGGACUAGAAGAUGUUUAAGAUAGGGCCUCAUAAGGUCUAUUGUAUUGUUCUAUGGUCCUAUUCUUAAUGUUUUAAAUUGUCUUAGUAUCUUAA